rnacentral:rRNA from 1 species
UUGAUCCUGGCUCAGAAUCAACGCUGGCGGCGUGCCUAACACAUGCAAGUCGAACGCGAAAGUCCCGCAAGGGAUUAGUAGAGUGGCAAACGGGUGAGUUACGCGUGGGUGACCUGCCUUCGAGUGGGGGAUAACGUCUCGAAAGGGACUCUAAUACCGCAUGACAUCCUGCCUUUGAAGAGGCGGAGAUCGAAGCCGGUGAUCGCAAGACCUGGCGCUUGAUGAGGGGCCCGCGUCUGAUUAGCUAGUUGGUGGGGUAACGGCUCACCAAGGCAACGAUCAGUAUCCGGCCUGAGAGGUCGGACGGACACACUGGGACUGAGACACGGCCCAGACUCCUACGGGAGGCUGCAGUGGGGAAUUGUUCGCAAUGGGCGCAAGCCUGACGACGCAACGCCGUGUGGAGGAUGAAGACCUUCGGGUCGUAAACUCCUUUCGAUCGAGACGAAUGGCUUCCGGGUGAAUAAUCCGGAAGAGUGACGGUACCGAGAGAAGAAGCUCCGGCUAACUCCGUGCCAGCAGCCGCGGUAAUAAGGU